rnacentral:rRNA from 1 species
GAUGAACGCUGGCGGCGGGCCUAAUACAUGCAAGUCGAGCGAACAGACGAGGAGCGUGCUCCUCUGACGUUAGCGACGGACGGGUGAGUAACACGUAGCUAACCUACCUAUAAGACUGGGGUAACUUCGGGGGACCGGAUCCAAUACCGGAUAAUAUAUUGAACCGGAGGGAUCAAUAGUGAAAGAGGGUUUUGCUGACACUUAUAGAUGGAUCCGAGCCGGAUUAGCUAGUUGGUAAGGUAACGGCUUACCAAGGCAACGAUGCGUAGCCGACCUGAGAGGAUGAUCGGCCACACUGGAACUGAGACACGGUCCAGACUCCUACGGGAGGCAGCAGUAGGGAAUCUUCCGCAAUGGGCGAAAGCCUGAUGCAGCCACGCCGCGUGAGUGAUGAAGGUCUUCGGAUUGUAAAGCUCUUUUAUUAGGGAAGAACAAAUGUAUAAUUAUCUCUUCAUGUUUUGACGUUACCUACACAGUAAGCCCCGGCUAACUUCGUG